CAGCCGGCUGGACUCCCCCUCAGCCUCGGGUAAACACCGGCCAGGUAGACAGGUCAGCACUUCUCCUUCCAUGGGGCAGUAACCCUUCCCCUCUAGGUAACCUCCAACUGAAGAAAAAAUGGCAAGAGCAAGACAAGCCUGCUGCCGCCCAUGCAGAAGAUCCCCAAGGGGCAAAAGACGACAAAGCAGGAAGAGGAGGAGGAGAAGGAGGAGGAGAGGAAAGAAAUCAUCCUUCGUGGUGAGCACGACUUACUACUACCGGAGAAAAAGAUAAUUUCCGGUACCUUCCUUUCGUCUUGGCUGAGAACGACGACCAGAAGCCACCAAGAGCCGUCACCGCCGGAACAGUUUCCGGCACUGAGAAUGGACGCCGAAAGGCCGGGUAACACUAUGUGUGGUCCCAGAGUGGUGACUUAACGAUCCCCGAUCCAUCUCUUUUUGGAGGAAAGCCAAGACCUGUCAAUAAACCUGUAGCAAGCAAAUAAAUCAAAAA